GCAGUCGAGCGGAACGAGUUAUCUGAACCUUCGGGGAACGAUAACGGCGUCGAGCGGCGGACGGGUGAGUAAUGCCUAGGAAAUUGCCCUGAUGUGGGGGAUAACCAUUGGAAACGAUGGCUAAUACCGCAUGAUGCCUACGGGCCAAAGAGGGGGACCUUCGGGCCUCUCGCGUCAGGAUAUGCCUAGGUGGGAUUAGCUAGUUGGUGAGGUAAGGGCUCACCAAGGCGACGAUCCCUAGCUGGUCUGAGAGGAUGAUCAGCCACACUGGAACUGAGACACGGUCCAGACUCCUACGGGAGGCAGCAGUGGGGAAUAUUGCACAAUGGGCGCAAGCCUGAUGCAGCCAUGCCGCGUGUAUGAAGAAGGCCUUCGGGUUGUAAAGUACUUUCAGUCGUGAGGAAGGCGUUGUCGUUAAUAGCGGCAUCGUUUGACGUUAGCGACAGAAGAAGCACCGGCUAACUCCGUGCCAGCAGCCGCGGUAAUACGGAGGGUGCGAGCGUUAAUCGGAAUUACUGGGCGUAAAGCGCAUGCAGGUGGUUUGUUAAGUCAGAUGUGAAAGCCCGGGGCUCAACCUCGGAAUAGCAUUUGAAACUGGCAGACUAGAGUACUGUAGAGGGGGGUAGAAUUUCAGGUGUAGCGGUGAAAUGCGUAGAGAUCUGAAGGAAUACCGGUGGCGAAGGCGGCCCCCUGGACAGAUACUGACACUCAGAUGCGAAA
rnacentral:rRNA from 1 species